rnacentral:lncRNA from 1 species
UGGCAGUUGAAAUAGUAUAGUUAUAAUUUCAGCCAAAUAUAAUUAAACACGACAAAAUUUGAAGUUUAGGACAUCAUAGUUUGGUGAUCAAGGACAAAGCAUUAGCAACAUAGACACAAGAGUUUGAAAUGAAAGCAUAGUAGUAAGUGGCAAAUUCAUUCUCAACCAUGCAUCAAGGUCAUGGAUGGAGAAAGAAUCCCUAGUUACAAUCCAAAUCCAUAGGCUUAUACAUAAAAAAGAUUAACAAGUUCCACAGAGAGGGAUGAAAGAAAAGGAAAGGGAAGUGAUAUUGCGAUCGAGAGAGAGUGAUGGUGAUUACCUAAGUCUAACCAUGGUUGGUCCGUUAGAAGAAAAGAACCCUAAGGAACCAAAAUAUCUCCCAGGGUUACAUGCAAAUGCUUUGAACUCCACAUCCAUUCAUGGAGUUACUUUUCAUGAUGAAACAUUAGAAAAGCUAAAUGCAAAAGGCAAACGCUACUAACCCUUCUAUAUAUGGUUUAAUCAAAAUGGGCUAAUACUUCCAAAGUUUAGCCACAAUGAAUUUACAAGAAACAAGUGUUAGUAAGUAAACUUUAUCUUCCCCUUCCCUAAGAGAAGAUGUUGUUAGCUUCAGACAUAUUAUAAUAAGAUCUGAAGUGAUGUUUUCUGGUAGAAAAAAACAUUUAUAAAAAUAUGACUACAUGUUCUCCUAGUUUUAAACCCUAUGACUACAUGUCAAUGCAAAAAAAAUGAAAAGAAAAACCUUGGGGGCAUACAAUGCCCUCAGAUUUUGCUAAAACUGCCUCGUUGUCAAGAGGUGAUUAGCCGUUUAUGUGAGGCUUGCUUUUUGUGUUGUUGAAAUUUACAGUUUUGCAAACCAUCUUUUUGUUUAUUAGCCUUGCCUGGGCUAAAAGUAACAAAGAAAGUCUGUUUUAAUUUGCCUUUUACCGGCACAAAAAACUUUCCCAACAUAGCUCAUCCAAUAGCUGAAGUUGGCAUUUAGAUAAAAAUACUUUGGUUCUCUUCAAGGAACCCUUGUUUGACAAAGAUGCAAUAGGAAAAAAAAAAUGCAUGAUUCUCCGGCUUCGGAGGUGAUUUUCAGCCCCUAUGGGGGGCUUUUCCUGUGUGCAAAGGCCCAGAUGCCAAGCAUGGGCUUUGACUUGAGUAAGAUAGAGGCAAAGGGAGAAAGAGAACCAUGGUUAGACCAAAGGCAGAGAAUUUAGAGCAACUGAGUAUUUUUGGAGUAGCUAGCUAUUUUGGAAUGAGUCUCUCAACGAUGUGGAAUUGCAGGUGCAUGAAGAGGCAUGGUCACGCCUGUGGAUUAGCAAAACACACUGUCAAAGAUAUUAACAUUAUUAUUUCGUUGAACUAGGAAAUACGGCAUGUUGUUAUUUGAGAAAUUUGAUUUAAAUAGUACUACUACAAACCUGAUUGUAAGGGUGGAGUGGGUGCAAGAGACAUGGGCGCGCCAUAGUGCUGUGGGUAACUCCCAGUUGAGAACUGAAAGAGGUGAUGUGGAUACUGGAGACCAUAUCCUUGGCCGGAAGAGUAGGCAGUGGCUCCACCCCCGGUUCCUUCUCCGAAUUGAAGAUAGGGAUAGAAUGUUGUUCCCGUGCCAGUAAUCAACCCACCCGGUCCAGCACCGUACAUUGGAAACUGUGCUGUGGCCCCUCCAUACACAUUAUAGUAGCUCUGUACCAUAACAAAGUUGCAAACAGUUAGUAAUAUUGCUCAAAUUUACAUGUUGCCACCUACAGGCUUUAUACUUUAUAGCCAUGGAAUUGCAAGAAUCAAUUCUUUGGUGAGGACAUUCAAUUGGAACAAACCUAGCUAAGACUAGGAAUAAAGACUGCUAGUUUCACAAAUUUUUAGAAGAAUAAUGCAAGUGUGGGGGAUGGACCACUGCUUCCAAUUUCUAAUCAUGAGCUUGUUGAGGACAAAGCAAAGCCUCCACAGCUGUAUCCAUAUGCAAAUGCAAGUGCUAAUGUCAAUGCUGAGCCAAUCAGUACAAAGGCUCUGACCUAGUCAGCCGUACAUAUAACAUGUUUCACCCCCACCAGUCGUCACUCUUUAACUGUGUUGGGUAAAAUUAAAUAGAUUUAUAUUUGACGUAAAUUGGUAAAGUUUUGGUGAAUUAUUAUGUCAUUUUAACAACUCAAUUGAUGGUCACUAGCCCCGUUUCAAAUGAAUACAUUAAAAAAAUUAAAAAUAAAUAAUUUAGAAAAAUAUCAAAUAUUUAUAUUUAAUUUUAUUAUUAAUAAAAUAUUUCUGUGAGAUUUAUUACAAAGGAAGAUUAAAAAGUCUUAAACCCCCGAGUUCCUUGUUAUCAGGAUAUAAAUUUCUCAAAAUAUAAAUCUAUAUUAAAUUAGUGGAAACAAAAUCACUAAAAGGCGGGACAAAGCCUUCCGCCUGCCAGCUACAACCAGCGAAAAAAGUUAUCUUCCUCUUGCCAAGUCUGGCUAUUCUUUUUCUUGAUAGAAGCUAUUAUUUUAUUCUAGUUCUUAUGAAUUUAACCCAUUAUAAAAUCGAUUAUCAUUUUGAGAGGAAAUUAAUUAAACAUAUAAUAAUCAUUAGAAUUUAGAAGUAGAAAGAAGCAUCAAGGUAAAAGGUCAAUAUCUCCUUGAGUUUCUUUUUUUUUUAAAAAAAAAAGAGGAAGCUUGAAAACGCAUCCUAAGGUGUAGUGAAGAUAAAGCAAAAGGAAAAGGAGAAAUAUUUAGUCAUCAAGAGAGAGAGAGAGAGAGAGAGAGAGAGAGAGAUGUGUGUACAAACCGUGGGGUAAUUAGAGUAAUCUGGCGAGUAUGAAGAGUACCUAAAAGAGUGUGCAUGGAAACAAAGUUUAGCAAAAUCACUUUAGAGAAUCGUAGUUGAAAAAUAGAACAUUUUAUUUAAAUCAAAGCAGAAAUAUGGAAUUUGCCUUUAUAUCCCGGGUAUGCAUGUGCAUUCGCAUGCAAAGCAUAACAUAAGACGCUCUUUUAUAUAAUAUAACUUAUAUAUAUGAAAUGUCAUGUGUACAUACAAAACAUCACAUGAGCUGUCAUCAUUAUAUUUGAAAUAUAUAGAGAGAGAGAACAGAUACAGAUAUGUAAAAGAAGUUAGAGAGAGAAAAUGGAAUAUAAUUAAUGUCUCUAAUUAAUUAGUUUAAUGGCAUGAGAAGCAUGCAUACCCAUAAACAUUACAAGGGAUCCCUUGUUGGAUGGCAUAAUGAGGGGGAAAGGUUGCUGCCGAAGCAAAAGCUGUUGCAGUUCCGACUCCACCUCCAAACCCUGUUUGAAAUGUGCUCAUUACCCUAAAAUUCCUGCCUGCAACACCAACCCGCUUUCAUAUUUAUUAAAUAUUUUUUUUGUUAAACUAACACAAAUAACAAUCAUAAUCUUUCAGUAUUGCUCCUUUAAUGCAUGAACACAAAUAUUAUGGACAUAUUUCAGUAUUUAGUAGUACUAUUUUUUUCUUUGUUCUUUGUUUGCAGAAGUUUACAAUAGAACAACAAAAUAAAAGACAUGAGUUGAUCAGGAUUUAGUAAAUUUCCCAUGCAGCAUUACGCAUAAGUUACGGGAUAAGGCUGCUCCAUUUUCCAUUUUUUGAAGAAUAUUCUUCACUAUAUUCCAUGGUGAAUUUUUGCAUGAAAGUGGAAUGUUGGCUUGGGCCCUAGAUAUCAAUUUCUUUUUCACUGAUAACGUUAAACGUAUAGUAAACACCUGCUAAACUUGACAAUAAUUAAGCAACCAUAAAGCAAAAAGAAGGAAAAAAACAAAGAAAGAAAUGACAUCACGUAUCUUUUACUUCAGAUCUGAAAUAUACAUAUGCGAUCACCUAAAACCUAAUAAGUUGAGAUAAUUCCAUAGAUCAUUUAGAAACAAAUAGAUUGAAAAGCAAGGAAAGGAAGCAGUUGAUCACCAUGCUUUGGAGUAGAGGGUUUGGAUCUUUGAACACCCAAAGAAGCAAGGUUGCAAUUAGCCCUUCUCCCAUCGAUCACAGGAGCAGCAUCAACGCAAGCUCUCAUGGCGGCAUCCGUUCACGAAACGUUACCUAUGAUAAUAAUAAUCCAAAACAAAGCAGCACAUUUUCAAUCUCAUCAUCUACUUUGGUUUCACUCUUUUCAAGAUCCAUCACUAGUGACUAGAUCUUUUAUUUGCUUGAAGAUGAAGUGAUAAAAAAUAUAAUAUGGAAAUUGAAAAAUGAAGUUAAAAAAAAGGUGAGAAGAAAGGAAUGAAACCAUACAAAUCCAUAGCCUUUAGAUCUGCCAGUGGCCUUAUCAGUGAUUACGACAGCCUCCAAGAUGUCACCGAAUUGCUCAAAGUACUUCUUUCAUGGUAUCCUUGUGAGUCUCCCAUGCCAGCCCUCCCACAAACACCUUAGAUCACGUUUGGUUCGCUGUAUUGGAUUAGAGAUGUAUUGGAUUAGAGGUGUAAUGGAAUAGAGGUGUAAUAGCAAAUCAACUGUUUUGUUGAAUGUAAUGGAAUAGAGGCGUAAUAGUAAUCUUGUGUUUGGUUGAAUGGAAUAGAGGUGUAAUAGCAUAAUGGAAAAAAUUAAAAUGACUAGAAUACCCUUAGCAUAAAUUUGUUUUGGUAAAUGAUUAUUGUUAUUGUUAUUUAAAUUUUAAUAAGAUUAUUAUUAUCAAUAAUAAAUAAUUUAAUCAUAUUUAAAUAUAAUUAUUAUUAAAUAUAUUUUAAUUAAAAUAUAUAAUUUAAUAAAAUUCUUAAUAAUUAAUAUUCUGAUAUGAAUUUACUCAAAUAAUAAUAUAUGAUACUAUAAAAUAUAAAUUAACAUAAUUAUUAUUAAAUAUAUUAUAAUUAAAAUAUAUAAUUUAAUAAAAUUCUUAAUAAUUAAUAUUAUUAUAUGAAUUUACUCAAAUCAUAAUAUAUGAUACUAUAAAAGAUAAUUUAACAUAAUUAUUAUUAAAUAUAUCUUAAUUAAAAUAUAUAAUUUAAUAAAAUUCUUAAUAAUUAAUAUUCUUAUAUGAAUUUACUCAAAUCAUAAUAUAUUAUACUAUAAAAGAUAAUUUGAAAUAAUUAAUAUUAAAUAUAUUUUAAUUAAAAUAUAUGAUUUAAUAAAAUUUAAAAUAAUUAUAACUAAUAAAAUUUAAUAAGUGAGUAAGAAUUGAACUCUAAAAAUAAAAAAAAACAUAACCAUAUAGAAUUGAACUCUAAAAAAAAAAACAUAACCAUAUUGAAUUAUCAUCAACAACUCGAUUGAAUUUACAACAAUUCUGAAUUAAAUGGAAGUACUGCCUCAAUAUCUCACUUCAACUAAAAAUAUAAAGUAAGAAUUCAAUAGAAGAAAUUCAAGCCGAUACAAUAUCUCUUUUACCCUACUUUCAACUCCAAUUGGCCUUCCAUGAAACCAAUUCUUCACUUCAAACAAAAUAGCUCAUCAAUCUAGCAGGAAAACGAAUACUGUCCAAAGUUGCCAUUGAAAAUAACCUCCAACUUCAUGUGUCCAUUCCACAAGUUAAGGGAAAAAGCAAUCUCUGCCAAUUCUGGAUUUAUAUGAUGCAUUGAUAAAUUAGAAAAAACAAUCUUUCAGACUCCUAAUCACACCAAAAGGAGAAGGGGAGAGUAGCUACUUGAAAUGGUACAUUUUAAAGUUGCAGUAACAAGGAAAUAAGAUUUGUCACUUUAACUUACAAGGAAAUUAACAAGUAUGACAGAUAAUAUUCCCAAGUAAACACAUAUAAAAGUGAACAUGCUAGUGUGGCAUAGGCAAACACGAAAAACCAGAGAGGAAGUCAAUGAUUAUAUACUUACAGUAGAUAAAGAUUGAUUCAAUCAAUUCAGGAGAGAAAAAGAGUGCAGUGGCUUAUGUAUUAAGAGUUUUUCAAGCAACCAGAUGAACCUGAAAUUAGCAUUUCUUUCAGGAUACAGAGUGAAAAAAAUGAAGAGAUGGUUAAGAAAAUGUCAACCACAUAGAUUUGCAUAAGCAAGCCGCAGUGUGCAAUCCUCCCAAUGGAGGCCUGAGCUCCCCUUUGAAAUUUCUUCCCUUGGGUUCUGAUUGCAAUUUAAAAUGACAACAAAAUCAUCAUCAAUCACUAUCCUAAAUAUCCUGGGACACAAAAAUAAACCUUUGCAAUUACCAUCAGAGUCAAUGUAUGUAAUUGCGGUACGUUUGUCGACUGGGUUGAAUGGAAGAAAGUGAACCUCUUUGAUGUUUGCACGAGCCUGAAUAUGCAAGGUUUCUUUCAUUAUUUGACAUGAACAUCUAAAAGAAUCAAAUGAAAAAGAGAACCUUGAAAUUGAACAUUUUUGUUGUUGUAUUACCUCCUUCGGGUCUGCAAGCAUGUUAAUGAUGGCUGCAUCAAUAGCAUCCUGAUUUUCCAGUCUGGAGGCUCUUGCUGCUAGCAGAACAACCAAGUCUUUGUCCAUAUUUUUGCUAAAAACCUUAAGAAAAAGGUGAACAUGGCUAUUUAACCUUUAUCUGAAAAUUGAGUCAUUGCAAGAACUAGGAGUUUCAAAUUUUUGAAGUCCAGCUAUUGUACCUCAACAAGGUUCCGAUCAACGGUUAGACGAUUCAAGGUCAGAGUUCCAGUUUUGUCACUGCAUAGAACAUCCAUUCCAGCCAUUUCUUCAAUUGCAGUCAUCCUUUUAGUAAUGGCACCCUAAAAAAACAAACCAAACAAUAGAUUUGUAAACAACGUAGAAUAAGUAUUUCAGUUUGUCAUUGUGCUGUUUUGGAUGUUUUAGCUUAUUUUUACUGGAAAAUGAUGUGCAUUGAAUAAGAGUUGUACCUGUUGAGACAGUCGAUGAGAACCGAUUGCAAAAGUAACAGAUAAUACAGGAAUUUUUACAUGAUAUAUCUUCAGUUAUUUAAUUGACUUUUAUCACUAUCAAGUAGAGCACUUGCCUGAUCAAUUUUAAGUGGAUCGCCUUCAAGAAGGCGAGCAUCUGCAGGGAUGAUAUCUCCAAGUUUUAUGCUAAUUAUAUCUCCUGGUACUAAAAUAGCAGCAUCUGUCUCUUGCCACUGACCAUCUCUGAGAACCUGCAUAAAAGAAAAAUGAUUAUGAAAAUUUAGACAUUAUUGUAUUUGCAAAGGCAUUAAAGAAACUUGAAGAGAGUUGCAGACCUUUGUUUUAGGAGCCAGACGAGCCAUGAGUGCGGCUGCAGCAUUUCCAGCAUUGUUUUCCUCAAUGAAACUGAUUGUUGAAUUGAUAAUCAGAAGGCAUAUAAUCCCUACAAAGUCCAGCCAGUCAGGACCCUAACCCUGAAACAAAACAAACCGCAGAAAGCUAUCAGGGUGACCAUUCAAGCUUUGAAAAGUAUAUGGGGAAAGAUAUAUAACUUACUCCACCAUUGGCAAGGACAAUGGCCAUCACUGCUGCAGCUUCCAUAACCCAUGAUAAUGGGUUCCACAUAAAACUUAGAAACUUCAAAAACUUGUUUUCAUGGAGUAUGAUAAAAAAGCUAGCAUUGUCACAGUGCUUCAAACCAAACCAGAUAAACUACAGCUAGCUUAGCUAAUAGGCUGCAAGGUCUUACUCUAUUGCAAUUUUAUAACUAGAACUACAGAUAAAUAAUGAUGAUUUAAUUGAAAAUUUGAAACUCUAUAUAUAUAUAUAUAUCCGAAAUUACGGGUGCUUACGGGCUUCUCCUCGAGCUUAUUCUGACCAAAAAUAUGGACUCGAACUUCAGCAUCUUCAGAUGUAAGUCCUGCACGGGAUGUUCUCAGUAAAAUAAAUGAUCAUAAAACUGAAUUUAAAUCACCAAAAACGUUAAAUAAAAUAAUCGACAUUUCUUUUACCUUCUGAAUUUCCAUUGAGCAGCAGAAGGAACUUCAACAGGAGGCAAACCUUCAUGCUUCCAAUCGGAAAAAGCAUCUAAUGCAUUGAAACGAAUAUCGUUGCCGCUUGCGACGUCUUUAAGAGAAUCAAACAACUUUCACCGAAUAUCAUUUCCGGUAAAGUGGCGAAGUUUGGAGUCUUUGUUCCCAUUGUUGGAGAGCCAAUAAGUUGAGAAUCAAGCGGUUACCACCAUGAAACAGCAACAGGGUCGAGCGGAUGAAGAAGAAGAAGCAGUCUGCUAAUGAGUGAUGAAGAAAAAGCAGAUAUGGCGGCAGAAAGGAAAGAAAAAGUUAUGGAAUCAGAAAAAUCAGAAGAAGCAAUUAGGAGGGUAAAACACGGUAGAAAAAUGGGGAGAACUUAAUACGCAGCAAAACAGAGCUUUUCAUCCGGAAUAGAAAUCGGUGGAUUUUGGGGAUUAGGUCUGUAAUGGAUUAGACCUGUAAUAAUAAUACACUGAACCAAACAAUGGAUUAAAGGAGUAUUAAGUGGGGCCCACUGAUUAGGGGUGUAUUGGCUAUGCCAAUACACCCAACCAAACAUGCUCUUAGUGUAUGUGGUGUCACCAAACUGCCCUGUCAAAUUAGCUGGAGUCAUCUUCUUUAAUUUCUUCUACUUCUUCCUUCACUACUCCCAAAUUAACAAUCAAAAUUCAAAAGACACUAAUGAUAUUUUUUAUUUCUUCUUCACCCUCUCCUUGGUACCUCUCUGACAAUCAAAAGAAUUAGGUUUAGGUGAGGGAGAGAGAGAGGGGGAAUUGGGAGGGAAGAGAAAGCAAAAGUUAGAUAAAAGAGAAAAAGACCCUUGAAUUAAUUAUACAUAGUUGCCCCACCACCGCUUUACAUUAUGCAUAUCGCUUUCUCACGCGCGCCCCUCUCUCUCCCCGCUUGAAUUAAUGUUGUGCUUCAGCAGCUCAAGCCACCACGCGCUCUUCUGAGAAUGGAGUUCACUAGUAGCAGAAUUAUUAUGUCCUCUUAGCUUAGCUGUACCUUCUAUUAUUUUAAUUUUAAGGACAGGCGAAAAUUACUUUUAUACCCUCCACUUUUGAGAUAACUACGAGAUUUACCAACCUGAUUUAUAAUUAUUAAUUCGAAGGUCCUUAGUGGCAGAAACGGAACGGGGAAAUUUAGGAAACGUGGGAGGUCAACGGUCAAACAUCCAAUUGCUUGUUGCUUCUGUCUAAAGCUGUGAUUCUGUGUAUAUUACAUUUAGACAAAAAGAACCGAAGGAAUUACAAUUUGAGAUGGCAUUGAAAAACAAUUUAGUACAUUUAGCUGACAAUUUCGGACUGUAAUAAUUAUAAUAUUUUAUUAUGAUUGGAUUAAUUUAAAUUUUUAAAUAUAUCAUAUUAGUUGGAAUGAAAAUUUGUUUCUAAAAAAAUCCUAUAAUUUUUAAAAAUUUUAGACUUCACGAGCAGAUUAGAUAUUACAUAUGUUUUAUAGUGUAUAGUAAAAAAUAAAAAAUUAAAAUAUAAACAAAUGUAUCACUUGUCACACUUUUAAUCAUGUUUAACUCAACAAUUUGUGUAUUAAAUAAUUACCUUUAAUAAUAUGCUAUUCCAAGCUAUCUAUCUGAGUCUAACAGUUCACCUAAAAUUUUAGAGAGUUUGGAAAAAGUUAUUAGGCUAAAAAAUGAGCUUAGGUAAAAAAUUAAGCUUAUUUAAAAUAUUGAUUGAGCUCAAACUCAAAACAUUGAAGGUUGAAUCCCGAUCUAUCCACCCCAUUUCCUAAUUUUUGUAAUAUAUUAUACUAUGUUUUUAUGUAUAUUAUGUAAAUUAUAUCACAUAAAAGUUAAAUUUAUUGUUAGAGUUGUGUGACACAAAUUCCUAUUAAAUAAAAUAAGAAAUUGCUUGCAAGUCAAGUUAAACAAAAUAUAUUUUCUUUGUAGAAGAUUUAGUAUUUAUUAGUAUAAUAUAUUUAACAUUUAUUAGCAUAAUUUAUUUGACCUAUGAAUUUAGCCUAUAAAUAGGCUCUUUUACAAUAUUAGAAAACAAACUCAUUAAAGAUUAUAACUUAUAACAUGUAAUACCCCUAACUCGUCUCCGUCACAUAAUUAAGGUUAUGGAGCAUUACCAAACAAUUGGAAUAACAUUUAUCAUCAUAACAUUAAAUAAAUUAAUAUUGUUAAAAACCAAUCAAAAAUAUGCAUUUGGUCCCUAAAUUGAGCCUUCAAGGCCCUAAAAAUAGCUUAGAAGCAAUUCAGGACUAAUUUGAAACAAAACAGAAUAUUUGGGAAAAUUUUGCAAAUUUUGAAAACAAGGGUCACACGGCCGUGCGACAAAGCCCAGGCUGCGUAACAAUCAAACAAAGGGACACAUGGUCGUGUCCCAACCUGUGUCUCUACUUGUGUAACUCACUGAGUUGGGUCACACGACCGUGUCGCAAGCCGUUUGCCAAAUCGUGUAACUCUCUAACUUGUGACACACGGUCGUGCCGCAAGCCAUGUGCUAGGUCGUGUAACCCAUUAACUUAAUACACUAAGAAUUUACAAAUGACACACAGUCGUGUAGCCAGACUGUGUGUGUUACACGACCGUGUGACAGCUGUGUCCCAGGCCAUGUGAUCCAUAAUUUGACUCUAAAACAAGCCAUUUCAAGGCCAAAACACACCUAACCAAACAUCCCAUUUGUGCACACAUUCAAGAGAUUCAAACAUCAUUCAAUUACACCUAAACAUACCAUUUCAAACAUCCUAUUUCAUCUAACCAAUUUACCAUUCAAUGGAACCACAUUUAUACUAAAACAUCAUUAACCAAAACAAGUCAAUAAGGCCAUAUUCCAAGCACAAAACCUAGUUCCUUAACUACCAAAUACAUCACAUGUAACCAUUUGUAUAUCAAUACAAACAUACCAACAAAGAUCAUGUACUUCAAAUACCUAAAUGUGGCCAAAAUGGCCUAACUUGACAAGGCAUUAAAAGUGUAAGAGUAUGCCCAAAGAUCAAUCAUGAGAUGGUUGUAAUAACAUACUUGAUUUAUCAUGUUUAUUAAUAUAAGGCGUUGCCAUUAUUAUUUCAGUUUCUUUUAUGUGUGUAUAAAUAAACUGUUCUAUAAUAAUGUCCUGAGAAUGAUAUGAUUAUUCUUAAAAGAUCCUUAGUCAAGUAUUAUUGUUGGCUAGGACAAUAAUAAUGCAUUAAGACUAACAUGUAGUUGAUUGAUGAUAAAGAGUUUUCAUUGAUAUAGAGUGUCAAAAUCAAUGCAUGAAUAUGUGUGUUAGAGAACAACAUAUUGGACUGACCCGUUAUGAGUAUGUUUCUUGGAUUAUUAUGUAAUUGUCACAACAUUACUCAUAGUGGUUAAUAUGUAUAUGAUCCUCAGACUUGAGAUCAUCAUUAUCUCAACAUCGUGAGUUGUAUAUUUUGAUACAGUCAAACAUACACCGUACCUGGUUGUUCUAUAAAGGUUGAUGUUGGAUAUACCACGAUCUAUGUAGAGGGAUAUGGUUGAUCGAUAUAAGAUAAGUCUCUCCUACAUAAUGAGAGUAAUAUCUUAGGCCACUUGAUUGAGUGAGACUAGAAAUGCAUAACCAUGCUCAAAUAAGUUGAUAUGAGAUGUCAUACUUAUUUGUAUAUUAUAGUCUACUCAAGAUAUCAAGGAACAUGGGAUGGACUAUGCAAGUGUGACUAUUCCAUUACUUGUGUCCAACCCAAAGAUAAAGGACUUAAUGAUUAAUGCAUGAAAGGUUAAUCGCAAAAAGGUUAUGUUGAAUCAUGAUUUCUUAUAACUUAGGUAGCAAUGAUGCAUUACUAGAUGCCACUCAUUGUUUGUAACAUUAGAAUCGUUCUAUUAUUACUGCUAACAGUACAAUAACCUACAGGGCCACACCCUAUGGUUGAAAUGAACGGAAUAAAAUAUAGUUGGUAUUGUGUUUGGUUGUCACAUGAAUUAAAUUAAUUGUAGAAUUAAUUUAAUUGGGUAAUCAAAUAUCGAACAUAUUAUAUGUACAAGGUUGUUGUACAUAUAAUGAGAACAUAGUUCUAUUAAUAUAUGAAUUUGGUUUGUAUAUAAAUUCAAAUAAAUAUAGUUUACGUAAAUUAUUAUUAUAAUUAAUGUAAUUAUAAUUUUCAGUUUAAAACAUUGUUAUAUUUAUUUAAUUUCAAUUAUGAUUAUUAUGUUCGAAUAAAUAUUUAAUGAAUUAUGAUUCAUCAUAUAUAUAUACCAAUUAUAAGAGAGAAAAGUGUGUGUUUUUUAAAAAAAACCCUAAAAAAAUUAAAAAUCUCGUUUUUCUUUGCUUAAAAAGUCUAGCAGCUGUCAAGCAAAGUGGUUCUCCAAAAUAGUUUUGGGGAUUUCUUCUGUUCAUUGUCAAUGGGUGGAUUACGUAAAGGCCGGAGUUACAAAAGGUUGCGGCUUGGUUCGAUAGUAGAUCAGAAUACUCGUUGCCGAAGCGUCGUUGUCUAUCUAGUUUAAAGAUUUGGUAAUUUCGAAACCUUUAUUUCACCCCGAUUCGUUCCUCGCACAUGGAUCCAUGGUUUGGAUCACCGGAUGUAUUAAUUUUUGCUGCGCCGUGAAGGUACUGGCGUUCCAACAAAAAGUCCAUCAAACCAAACAUAAACUUCAAAAGCAUAUACAUACCAAAUCAACCAUUAACACGUUCAUGAACUACCAUUACAAAAGGUCCUAUGCAUGUCAUAUAUAACCUUGGUCAAAUUACUCAAAAAUACCGAAAUGGUUGUUGGAUAGUAUGAUUGAUCCCCGACAAUCUUCCAACCGGUCGAGCUUCUGUUAAUCUAUAAAACAAAGGAAAGUAACUACGGAAGCAACUAGUACUUAGUAAGCUCGUAUGAACUCAAACAUAACUUACCAUUUCUUUAGUACAAACUAUAGAAGAAACAUAAUAUCAUUACCGAGACCAUAAGAUUAGUAAAAGCCUAUACAAGCACCAUCAAACUCACAAGUUAAUAGGCUCAUCCAUGAUACAUAUGAGUUCAAUCAUAUAGCAAGUAGAUUUCAUAUACAUAUCAUUUAACUCAUCAACCUUUCAUAAGAUCAUGAACCUUUUCAAUUGUAUACUUACCAUACCAUUUCCUUUACUUACCCGUUGAAUCAUCUAGAAUUGCAUCGAAUACUCAAGAAUGCUCACACAUAGUGUGCCUUUCCAUAUAACUGUAACCUUUCCUUGUCAAUAAUGCUCACACGAGUUGUGAAAUAAGCCUAUUCACACGAGCUGUGGAAUAAGCCUACUCAUACCAGCUGUGGGUCGGAAUGUUAGCUACAUGAUGUUGUUCACACAAGCUGUAGAGAAUCCACAACAAAUGUAGGACCUCAGCCAUCGGUAGGAUAUUCAAGACCAACACCCUAAACAUGAAAUCUCUAAUGACAUGUCAUUCGUAUCUUAAGAGUUCUUAAGGUUCAAAUGGGAUUCAUUAUCCGUCAAUUAUUCAUAGCAUUGAUACAUGUAUAUUCAACUAACAUUAAUACGAUUAUAAUUCAUACGAACUUACCUCGAUAAUUAUGGUCGUAAUAGUCGAGUUAAAAUCUAAUUCAAAGCUUUAGUAUUUCCUCAAUUUAAGUCCAGUUUUUGUUUAUCUUGAUCUAAAUAGAUAAUUUUAUUUAAUUAAGUACUUCAAGUAUUCAAUUCAAUCAUAAUUCAUAUUUAUGUAAAAUUAUGAAAUUACCCCUAAUAUUUUAACUUUUCACAAUUUAGUCCUUAAGCUUAUAACUUGAAUAUUAAUCAUUUUAACCUAAACCCAUAUUAAUCAAUGCUACAAGGGACCUUGGCACAACCCAUAAUUAUCAAAAAUUCACAAUAAAACCCAUGGAUUUACGCUUUCUAUAAUUCAAUCCCUAUUUCAAAAUUAAUCAAAAAUCACUUAACAAAACAAGUUUGUUUAACAACCAAGAUUAAUAAUCUAUCAAAUAAAUUCAAAGCAUAUUUAAAAUCAACCAUGGAAAGUCCCUCAACCUUUAAAAAUUUUGCAAAUUAACCCCUGGGCUAGCUAGAUUAAGCUAAAACGAACUCAAAAACAUAAAAAUCAUUAAAAACAGGACAAAUUUACAUGCCAUGCAUGAAGGACUUCAAAAUUGAAGCUUUCUCCCCUUCAAUGGAAAAUUUUGAUUCAAAAAUAAGAAAAGAAAGAAGAUGAUAGCUUGUUUCAUCUUUUAUUUACUUAAUCUUUUAACCUAAUUAUCAAAUUAUCAUACUAACCUUUUAAAACUAUUAAAAUUUCAUUAAAACCUAUCCAUGCGCAUCCACUAACAUACAUUAUGGUAUAUUUACCAACUACAUCCUUCAAUUUACCUUUCUAUAGCCAUUUAACCUUUUUAUCUAAUAGAUACCCACUUUUGCAACCUUUAUGGUUUAGUCCUUUUUACCUAAUUAACCAUUUAAACUUCAAAAUUUCUUAACGAAAUUUUAAUACGACCUUAAAAUAAUCCUGUAGACAUUAAAUAAAUAUUAAAAUAAUAACUCAUUCGUCGAAAUUGUGGUCCCAAAACCACUGUUGCUGACACCAUUAAAAACGAGCUGUUACAUAACACUUUUGGAGAAUUUUAUGUUUACAUUGUGAGGAUUCUUUAUUUUUUGGGUUUGGGGUUUUAGUUUUUAUCUCCAUCUUUUGUACUCUUCGUUCUUUUGCCAUUAUAGUAAAAUUAUCUUUAACUGUGAUUUUUUAUCCUCUUUGGAGGGAUUUUUUCACAUUAAAUUUGUGUGUUCAAUUUCUCAAUUUCUUCCAUUAUUUUUUACUUGUUCGUUUCUUAAUCAGGUUGAUCCCUAACAAGUGGUAUCAGAGCUAGUUCAAUUCUUCGUAGAUCAGCCCAUUCAGAGAUGACAGCAAUAAGAUUUGACAUUGAGAAGUUCGAUGGUGUCACAAGUUUCAAUUUGUGGCAAGUUCAGAUAAUGACAAUUCUAGUUCAGACUGGCCUGAAAAAGGUUGUUACCGAGAAAAAGCAUGAGAAUCUAGAUCAUAUAGAAUGGGAAGAGCUUAAUGAAAAGGCACUAUCUGCAAUCCAGUUGUGCCUCGCGAAUAGGGUAUUGUAGGAGGUAUUGAUGGAGAAAACCUCAUUCGCCUUGUGGAAAUGGUUAGAAACUCUUUAUGUGACUAAGUCUUUGGCUAACUAUUUAGUGUUGAAACAACGUUUAUUUACGUUUUGCAUCAACGAAGAUGAGCUUCUUAGAGAUCACAUUAGUCAAUUUAUUACUCUGUUGAAUGAUUUAAAGAAUGUUGAGGUUAAGAUUGACAAUGAAGAUCAGGCUACGCUAUUAUUGUGCUCUUUAGCCUCUUCAUACAAGUCUUUCAGGGAGACCCUGAUUUAUGACAGAGACAUACUCUCAUUUGAGGAUGUGAAAGGUCAUUUGUUAAGUAAAGACAAACUCGAAAAAGAGUUUGGUUCAGAUAGCAAGACAGAUAGACAAGCUUUUAUUUUGGUAACAUCAAAGAAGCGAGACAAAAGUUGUCGCUAUUGUAAGAAGUUUGGUCAAAUCAAAGUAAAUUGUUAUAAACCGCAAAAUAAAAGGGUUACUGAGAAUAAUGAGGAAAAUACAAUUGGUGUUAAUUUGGCCGAUGAAAGCGCUGAUGAUUUCUUAUUAGUGUCAAUAAGCGAUAGCUCCGAGCUUAUGUCCGAGUGGAUCCUAGAUUCAGGAUGUCUUUUCCACAUGUGUCCCAAUAGAGAAUGGUUCUUCACAUACAGUUCGGUUGAAGGUGGAGUUGUGCGCAUGGGAAAUGAUUCAUCCAGUAAGGUAAUCGAUAUUGAUACUAUUAAAACUAGGAUGCACGAUGGGAAGAUAAUGACACUCUUAGAUGUCAGGUAUAUACUUGAUUUACGAAAGAAUCUCAUCUCCCUAAGUAUUUUAGACUUGAAAGGUUGUAGAAUCAAUAUCGAGUUAAGCGGCAUUAAUGUGUCUCGUGGGGCUCUCAUUUUGUUAAAAGGUAAAAGAACCGACAGUCUUUAUAUACUGAAAAGUUCUACAGUGACCGGUGAAAUCGGACGUCCCUCGUCCGUUACGGAUUUGAAGUCAACUUAUUUGAAGUGGAGACAACUUGGUCAUAAGAGGGAAAAAGGUAUGACCGUUUCGUUGAAAAGAGGUUUUCUUUUGGAUGUAGGUUUUGAAAAGUUAGGACACUGUAUUCGUGAAAACUAGACUCGAGUUAGUUUUGAUUUGGCAGUGCUCAAGUCGAAUGCUAGGAGUCUUCCAACUUCUAAGCACAGAUCUGACUCAGUUAAUUCCCUGCAUAGUUCAAGAUAGGCCUGUGGUGGGCUUUGGCAAAGAUGGUGCUGUGAGAAUCCGUGUCAAGGUGGAGUUUGUUAGGGUUGUGUGACUCAAAUUCCUGUUAAAUAAAAUAAAAGAUUGCUUGCAGGUCAAGUUAAACAAUUAUUUCUAGAAGAUUUAAUAUUUAUUAGUAUAAUAUAUUUAGCAUUUAUUAGCAUAAAUUAUUUGAUCUACGAAUUUAGCUUAUAAAUAGGCUCUUUUACAACCUUAGAAAACACACCCAUUAAAGAUUAGAACUCAUAACACUUUUGGAGAAUUUUGUGUUUACGUUGUGAGGGUUCUUUGUUUUCGGGUUUUGGGGUUUAGUUUUUAUCUUCAUCUUUUGUACUCUUCGUUCUUUUGCCAUUAUAGUAAAAUUAUCUUUGCUCGUGGUUUUUUAUCCUCUUUGGAGAGAUUUUUUCACGUUAAAUUCAUGUGUUCAAUUUCUCAAUUUCUUCCACUAUUUUUUACUUAUUCGUUGUUUAAUUGGGUCAAUCCCUAACAUUUAUAAUAAUAUAUAAUACAAUAAUGUAAACAUAUUAAAAAAAUUUAAAUUACCUAUGUAUAAACUUUUAUUAAAUAAAUAAUAUAUAAAAUUAUUAAAUAUUAAAUUAUAAACAAUUUUCAAAAAAUUAGAAAAAUAAUAUGACUAUGUUUAAAAUGACUUGGGUUAGCAUUUAGAAAUAUGUAUAAGUUUAGAAAAAAAAUUAAUUCAUAUUUUAGACUAAGCCAGACUUAAACAAAUAAAAAUAUAUUAAUAUUAUACUUAAAUCCAAUCCAAACACAAACAUAAUCCGAUUUCACCUACAAAUACCUCCGCUUUGGAAGAAAACUAUUUAUCUGUUUAAACUUUUAGAAAUACUGCAAUUGAAGGUUGAUGAAUGUUUUUUAAAUAAUAUUUGUGAUUUAAAUAUAAAUAAUUAAAUAUAAAUUUUAAAAUUAAAAAAUAAUGAUUAAAAGUAAAAAAUUUGUAAUAAAAUUUUAAAGUAUACUGAAUAAGGAAGAUUGUUUUCGUUAGUUGAACAAAGCAUUUAAAUUUGUACUUCUACAUGUAUUAGUAACUUUACAUGUGAUAUUAGGUAUUAGUGAUUUAUUAAUUUGAUGUUAGUUAUUCAUUAGUCGCCAAUUAUGUGUCUACACAUUACAAGUAAAUGGUUAAAAGUGUAAUUAUUAUAUUCUCAAUUAAUUACAAUGAAUUAUAAUUUGUUAGAAAUGAUUGACUAAUGGUGCUUAUAGGUCGGGCUGAGUUCAGACAUAAGUAUGAUAUUAACAUAUUUUAUACUUGCUUAAAUUUUGCCCGGUCUGAAAUAUGAGUAUAAAAUUUUAUCCAAAUUUGUCUAUAUUUACAAAAGACUAACUCAAAGUCAUUUUAAGCUCACCCUUAUUGUUUUUUUAAUUUUUUUAAAAUAUUUAUAUUAUAUUAUUUUAAUAUAAUAUAAUUAAAUUUUUUUAUUGAUUGAAUUUUUUAUAUAGUCGUCGUAAUAUUAUUUUAAUGUUUACGUUAGAGUAAUAUUAUACAUUUAGUAUAGAUUUAUUUUUUAAUGUGUUAUAAAUUAUAUAAUAUAUAACAAUAACAUAAAAUAAAGUACUAUAAACUUAAAAAUAGGCCGGGCUCAAGCUUUGAAUGUUCAAGCCCAAACUCGACCCAUAUUUUAAACGGGCCUAAUUAAUUUUUUUGUGCAAGCCCAUUUCUUGGGCUUAAUAUUUUUGCCCAAAUCCUCCUAAAUUUUGGGUAGGCUUCGGGCCCAGACGAGUAGUCCGGUCCAUGAACAGGUCUAUGAUAGACUAAUAUUAAAGUGAAAUUAUAUCGUUAUUCUCUAUGCCAUAUUUGAUAAUAUAAAUUGUAAUUACACAACCCCAUAAUUUUAAAUUCUAAAAAAUAUUAAUUAUUAUAAAAAUUAUCGAUAAUACUAGAAAGAAUAAAAUCUCUAAAUAAGUAAUUUUAUCUAAUAUUUUAUAUUUGACGAGUAAUUCUCUCCUACAUUAACAUAUACUGUUACAUAUAAUAUAAAUAAUUAUAAUUUACAUUAACUUUUAAAAUUAUAUUAAUAUAAAAGGAGUUUUUAUCGCUUAGAUUAAUAAUAUAAGUUUAGAGAUGAAGUAACUUAACAUAAUUUCUUAACUUAUUAAUGUAAUGUAGAUAUUCAUAAUAUUAAAGAGUGAUAAAUUACGUCAUUUAUUUAUCUUUGGUUUUAUAAGCUUUAUCAAAAUCUUUUUUACCUCCAACAUUUGUAUUACAAUUACAUGAUUCAAGUGAAAGAAAAUAUAUGACCAGAGUUACAUUCUUUAUUCCUUUUGUUCCUCUCUUUCGACUAAUAUUUUCUUUACAUCAAAUAUCAUAUUCAUCUUUCACGACUUUUCAUUCAGAACUUUAGACAUCCUUCGUGAUUUUUCAUUAAAAGCUUUAAACCACAAAAUAAAUAGAUUGAAAGCCUUAAACCACAAGAUGAAGCGAUUUGCCAAUUUCUUUAUUAAAUGUUUUAUAUUUAUAUUUUUUAAUUAUUUAAUUUGUGAUUAAUUGGGAUUGUUUUAAUUAAUUUAGUUUAGUUCUAUUCUAUUAAGGUUUGUAAAAGAUUAAAUCAAAGCACAGACCUUAUUUCUUGUUGUUUAUCUUAGGGGAAGCUAAAAAAUAUUUUGGGCGGAAUUAAAUUGUGUAUUUUUAUGAUAGUAAAAAUGCAAUUUUAUCAUUUAUUAGCCUAUAUCUUUAUAACUUUUAAAGAAUUAAAUUAAAUUUUAAUCAUUUUUUAGAGAUCAAAGUACAAUUUUACUAUUACAAAUUUAAAAUUUUAUAAAUUAUAAAAAGAUGUAAAUAAAAAAAAUCUUUAAAUUUAUUCUUGUAUAUAAUAAAGUUUAGAAAGAUAUUUAAGAUUGAGGUGUGACAAAUUUUUAUUGCUUGUAUAAAAAAUCAUUUAUACGGAUAAUCAUAGAUGAAACAUAAACCUAAACUACAUCAAAAUAUACAAAUAUAAAAAUAAUAAUAUUAUGUUUUUAAACCUCAUAUAAUAUAUAUAACUGCGAACAGAAAUGAAGAAAACUAGAAGCAAGGUUGAAAUGAUAAUAAUAUAUGUACUUUACAUAUAUUUAAAAAUUUAAAAAAAUUCUUGUUCCUUGUUUUUUUUUUUGUGAUAAAUAAGAAAAUAAAGAAACAAAAUUACGUAACACAAUUCAAACCCCCUAGCGGGGAGAUUUAAAAAAAUUGCAACCUUUAUUUAUUUAUGUGAGCCAACAUUAUCAGUCUGUCAGCUUCUUGGUUCUCUUCUCUAGGAAUAUGACAAAUGCUCUAAUACUAAAUCUGUGAAAGUACUUGAAAAAUCCUCCUAAUCAAAGCCGUAGUCUGUCCAUCUAAUGUAAUCUCGUGGAUGGCACUAGCCAUUUCAAUACUAUUCGUCCGAAUUUGCACCUCCUUAUAACCUCGAUCAAUCAAGAUGCUUAAGCCAUCUAAAAUGCCCCACAAUUUUGCCUCGAACACUGAACAGCUUCCCAGGAAUCUAUUGUAACCCAAGAUCCAUUGCUCACUAUGAUAAUGUACAAUUCCCCCUGUUGUGGCAAAGCCAUCCUCAAGUCUAACUGAUCCAUCAGUAUUUAAAUAAAUUCCAAACCUAGACAUGUUAAGGCAAGAACAAGGUCGCUGAAACAAGUUUGCAUGUCCCCUAUCGGCCAUCAUAAAAUGUUUGGCCCAACUAAUUGAGGCCUUAAUAGUGUCGUUGCUGCUCUAUGACGCACCCUGAAAAAUAAAUAAGUUACGAUUUUUCCAUAUGGGACAGAUGAGUAUUCCGAAAAGGCAUUGCCAAUCGACAUCACCAAAGCUAAGAUCGUAUUUGUUCUACAAAUUAGAAAUGAUCCAUUCCUGCAAAUUACCAAAAAAAAAAAACUAACAAGUAGAUCAGUAGGUGUUAAAAGGUUCCAGAUUUCUCUUGCAGGAAGGUAGUCCUGAAUAGUAUGCCAUAGAUCUUCAGGGAUAUGUCUACAGACCCCACACGUCGAGCUAUGACUAAUCCCUUGCCGAACUCUUUCCACAUUAGUGAGUAAUCUCUGUUUGAGCACAAGCCAAAUAUAAUCUAACUCUUGGUGGACCUUGAUUCUAUGAAUUCUAAGAAUUUUCCCUCUUCCUCCUAAUGAUUCUAUGAAUUUUCCCGUAUUUUCUCAUAUGCGUUCUUGAUGAAAAAUGAACUUGUCGUCGUUUCCUCCCAGAUAAUCCUAUCCACUCUUGCUGAUGGGUGCCAAUAAUCUUACAUAUGAUCAUCUCAGGCAACCAAAUUCGAAACAAAUCAAGGUUCCAAUUACCAUCAUCUAAGACCAUAUAACCUAGCGAGCAAUUCAGAUCAAGGUUCGAAUGUUCAGGAAUCAAAUCAACAAGGGGCUCCACAUUAGGAAUCCAUGGGUCAUGCCAGCAUCUAACAUUUCUCCCAUCUCCUAUAGACCAGAGUAAAUUCUCUCAAAUAAUUGGCCAAACCUUUAUGAGGGCUUUCCACAAAAAAGAGCAUCUACUCCUUGAUAAAUUUUAUGGAAUUCCAUUAGUAAUCCUAUAUUUAACGCAGAGAACCUGGACCCAAAUGGCUUUAGAAUCAACCACAAGUAUUGUGAUCCUGCAGCUUUCGAAAACCAAGCCCCCUCGUUCUCGAGGCUAACAAAUAUCUUCCCAACCUACUAAAUCUACUUUUCAACUAUUGCUCGAAGAUCCCCAAACAAAUUGAUGAACCAUGCGCUCAAUCUCCUUACAAAGACCUUUGGAAAUCAUUAUCGAUUGCAUGAAAUAACUAGGGAUCACCAUUAAAACUGAUUGUGCAAGAGUCGCUCUACCAGCUAAAGACAACGACCUCGCCUCCAAACUUUGUAAUUUGUUCUGAACCUUUUUCACCACAAAUCUCAAAGUACUAUUCGUGACACUGUCAUGGAAUAGGAGAACCCCUAAAUAACCACCAAGGUUCUAAAAUUUGCAAAAACCAAGGAUACAACAAAGACUACCACCUACAGUGUAUCGCCAAAACCUUCAGAGAAACAUAUUUUUGUUUUAUUAACAUUAAUCUUGUGCCCAUAAAAAUUAAAAAAAGUUAUCCAACACCUCUUUCAAAACGGUUGCUUGAUCUCUUCAGUUUGACCGAACAAAAUCAAUCCAUCUGCAAAGAAAAGAUGAGACAAAGGAGAGUCUGAUCAGGAAAGUCUGAUAGGCCUCCAUUUUCCAAAAAAAAAUGCUAGAUUAAAAACUAUGUUUGAGCCACUCCAUGCACAAAAUAAAGAGAUAAAGGGAAAGUGGACAACCUUGUCGGACACCUCUAGAUGGACGAAAUUUUUGGGUUGGUGUUCCAUUCUAUAGAAUUUUCAUGGUAGAGUUAGUGAUAGCAGACAUAAUUAUAUUACAGAGAAAGUUCAGAAUACUUACAGGUUGGAGAGAAGUUCUAAUAAACUCCCAACGCACUCGAUCAUAAGCUUUCUCAAGGUCUAUCUUUAUGGCCAUCCAAUUACUGGUAUUCUUCUUAAUUCUUAUGGAAUGAAACACCUCUUGAGUAAUGAUGAUAUUAUUCGUAGUGGCUUUUCUCGCAAUAAACCCCGUAUGCUCUUGACCAAUAAUUCUUGGGAAAAUCAGCUUAAACCGAUUAGUGAUGAUUUUCAUUACCAACUUAUACAAGACUGACCACAAACUAAUCACCUGAAACUGCGAAAAACACUCAGGAUUCGGAACCUUUGGAGUGAGGACGAUUAGAGAAUUAUUAAGUUCUAGAUCGAUCCUCUCUCCAGUAAAGAUACUCUUGACCCACGAACAAACUGAUUCUCUAAGACAAUCCCACUAACUCUGAAAGAAUAGGGCAUAAAAUCCGUUACUUCUCAGAGUCUUUAAAGGCCCCAUAUUAAACAUGGCGGACUUUAUCUCCUAAUUAGAAACCGAUUAGCUUAAAAAGUUAAUCUCACCAUCCUCAAGUCUUAGAAAAGAACUUGCUGGAAGACCCUUCGAUAUCGUCUGAUCAUCUCCAUACAGAUUCACAAAAAAAAUCAAUCGCCUCAUGACACAGUUCUUUCUCAUCUAAAAUCUAAGUCCCCGUCUUAUUUUUUAAAGCCAUUAUCCUAUUCUGAUUCCUUCUUUUAAUAGUACACAUAUGGAAAAAAUUUGUAUUUCGAUCCCCUAAAGAAAGCCAAUCAUACCUCACAUUUUGUUUCCAAAGGAGCUCAUUAUGAUGCAAUACAUAUUCCAAUUCCUCCGUAAUCACCCAAUCCCUUUGACAUAAUGAGUCAGAAUGCGAGUAAUCCAUUUCUCUUUGAAUAUUUUCCAAAGUUUGAAACAAUCUUUUUUUUUUCGGAGACCAAUGUGACCAAACACCUUCUUAUUCCAAUCCUUCAAAACACUCGUAAAAUUGGAUAUCGAGGUGGAUAUAGACCCAAUGAAAGUCUGAUUAUCUUUAAGGAAUUUACGAAAAUCACUAUGCUCAACCUAUCCUGCUAGAAAGUGAAAUGAUCUACCCAAAGGAGAACGAAGUCGAGGACGUAAUGAAAUAAGAAGAGGCCUAUGAUUAAACUUUAGCCUUGGAAGAUGAGUUACCGAGCAAUUCAGGAAAGACGCCAGCCAAUUGUCAUUUCCAAUAGCUCUGUCAAGACGCUCAAAAAUAUCAAUCCUAAGCCAAGUAAAGGGUUAACCCUUAAAACCCAAGUCAUGGAUCUUAAAAGUCUCAAUAAAAUCCCCCAAAAGAGAACAUCGUUUACCACUAACUCACCCACAUUUUUUUCACUAAAGGCUAAAAGAGCAUUAAAGUCUCCUACCGCCAUCCAAGGAAAGUCAUAGAUCGAAAUGGAAUCCUUCAAAGAACUCCAAAUUCUCAUUCAUUUCCGACUAUCAAGGCUACCAUAAACAAAGGCAACAAAAAUCGACCCCUGUAUUUGUAAUAGCCCAUUUUUUAGUGGUGUCGAAAAUAGUGGUUUUGGGGAUACCAAAUUUGACGAGUAAGUUCGUAAAUAUUAUUAUUUAAUAUUUAUGAGUCAAAUGUGAUUUUAAAAAGGUUUUUGAUUUGAUAAUUUAUGUUAUAUAAGUGAUUUAUUAAAUUCAAGUGGUAAGACCUUAAGGUCAAGUGGUUUUAAAAAAUGAGGUAUUACGACCUCAUUUCUAUAAAACAAGUCGUAAAUAUUUUUAUAAAUAUUUAUAGAGUGUCAUUAAGGUGGUAUUAAAGUUUUGUUAAAAAAUUUUAACUUUUCGAUAGUUAAUUAAGUGAAAAGGACUAAAUCGUAAAAGUUGAAAAAGUCAAUCGCUAUUAGUUUAAAGGUGUUAAUUGAUUAAAGAAUCAUAAUUGGAUGGCCUUAAUGGGUAAAUUACCCAUUCUUAAGAUGGUGGAUGGUUUAAAUUUUAAUUUCUUUUAAUUUUAUAAGUUUUAUAAGUUAUUUUAUUAUUAAAAUAAAAAAUAAAGGUUAAAAAUAUAAUAAUAAGAAAACAUAAAGUUUUCUUCUUCAUUUGGCUUGUUCACUAUCAAAAAACACCAUUUUUAUGCUUCAAGGUUCGACUAUGGCUCUACAUUUGCAUUGUAAGCCAUUUUUCAUCCAUUUCUUUUAAUUUUUAUGGUUUUGAGAUUGUUGCAACUAUGUCCAGCUAGACCGUACCUUCGAUUUUGAAACUGUUAAAGAUUUUGAAUGUUGAAAUUGAUGAAUCUUGUGAUUUUAGAUGUUAAAUAAUGAAUUUGAGAUAUUAGUUGUUAUUUAAAAAUAUUUUAUUAAGUGAUUUUUGAUGAAUUUUACAAUUAGGGACUAAAUUUUUAAAAUAGUAAAACUUCAAGGAUUUGAUGUGAAAUUGUUAAAAAUAUGGUUUGAAUAUUCGGUUGUUAUAAAUUGGAAUUAAAAAUGGUUAAUUUGCAUGUUUUGGGCUCAGGGAUUAAAUUGAAUAAAAGUAAAACUUUGGGGGUAAUUUUAUAAAAAUUUAAAAAUGACUAAAUUGCAUAAAGUGCAUUGUUUUACUGUAUAAAUUAUUAUAUUGAAUGAAAUUAUUAAUUUAGAUUAGGAUCGAGUGGAAAAUCGAAGAGAAUAGAAAAUUACCAAAAUGCCCCUAUAUUUUGUCAUUUCUGCAAUUUAGCCAAGUAAGUUCGUAUGAACUGAAUUUUGUAUAAUGUUGAUUAAAUUGAAUAUUAUUAUGUGAUUCUAUUGUGAUUGAAUCAUUAUAUAAUGUUAUUAUGCAAUUUAUCUUGUCAAGAAACGAUGAAAAUUUAACGACGUAUGAUGAUUAUCGAGCCUCAUUUGAACCUUGGGAAUAUAUAGGAUACAAAUGACAUGUCAUUAGUGUUAGGAUGUUUCGGGUGCUGGUCUUGAAUGUCCUACCGAUGGCUGAGUUUCGACAUGUGUUGAGGAUACUUAACAGCUUGUGUAAGCAGCACCGUGUAGCUACGUUCUGACUGAUAGCUUGUGUGAGCAGACCCAAGUUACCAUGUUUCGAGUACUGGUCUUAAUGUCCUAAUGAUGGCUGAGGUUUGGCAUUAGUUGCAGAUACUUGAGAGCUUGUGUGAGCAACAUCGUGUAGCUUACAUUCCAGCCAACAACUUAUGAGCAAACUCAUUUUACAGCUUGUAUGAGCUACGACUAUAUGUUUAGUACACUUUGUGUGAGCUUUCCCGUGUAUCUGGUAUUAUUCUAAGUGGUUCAACGGGCAUGAAAAGGGAUGAACUGGUAAGGGUUUGAUUGAUUUCACUACGACAAUUAUAGAAAGGUAUGAUGUAUCGAUGAUCAAAGUAAGAACAUUCAUGAUUAUGAAAAGUAUGAUUUAAGUGAUGUUAUGUUUAUGUACCAUAUCUUCCUAAGUGAUGAUAUAGCUAAGUUAUGUGUUUAAUCACUAACUUGUGACUAUGGUUAAUGCUAUGUUUAUGUCUUAUGUGUUAUGCAAAUAAAAUAGUAAGUGUUCAGUAUGAAUUAAGAUAUGUAUGUAUGAAACUCAUUGAAAUGGUGAUACAUGAAAAACAUGAUAUGUUAUGAGAUGGAUGAUAAAUCCAAUUAAAUUAUGCUUAAGUAUAAUGGUUAUCCACGUCAAAUUCAUAUGAAUCAUGUUUAAAUGAACUAACAUGUGUUGUUGAUGUGCUUAGGCUUAUGCCAACUUUGUGGAUAUUAUUGAUGUUUAUAAUGACGCUUGUACUAUGCAUAUGAAAUGGGUAAGAAAAGGAAAUGAAAUGAUAAGUACAUAAUUGGGAUGUACUAUGAUGUUAUAAAAGGUUUAAUGUGAUAAAUUAUGUAUUUAUCUGUGAGCAAAUUGCUUAUGCUAUGGAUGAAUAUACCUAUAUCAUGGAUAAAUAUACUAAGUCGGGAAUUGAUAAUGUUGUUUAGGCUUAUGAUAAGCAUUAGGAACGAAAUAAAAAGAAAGUAAGUAGAAAGAUAUAUAAUCUUACAGAAAGGUUGAUGAUUAUUUAUUAUGUCUUAUGAAAUCCUAUCAUGUUAUGAAUGGUUAAUAAUUAUGCAACGUUAAUGAACUUAUUCAAUUGUGAGUUUAUAAUUAUGGUUGGAUAAAUCUUAAGGCAUUGGUAUAGGCUUGUAUUUAACUUAUAAAUUUCAUUAUUGAAAUGUAAUGUUAUGCUUAUGAUUUAUACGAGCUUACUAAGCAUUCAUUGCUUACGUAGUUAUCUUUCUCUUACUUUACAGAUUAUCAGAAGCUCGUUCAAGUUGGAAGCUAGUCGAAGAUCCAUCACACUAUCCAUCGAUUUUAUCAGUAGAUUUUGAUACUUUGGCCAUGGUUAUAAUGACAUGUACAGGUGGACUAUGUCUAAUGUGUAAUUGAUGAGUUUGAUAUAUAUAUAUGUUAUUUUGGUUGAUGAUUAUGGCAUGAAAUGUUGCCUUGGAUUUGAGGUACUUAAGGUACUAUUGAUAGCUUGUUGGUUGUGGUUAAUAUGGUCAAAUUGGUGUAUGUUUUGAAAUGACCUAAAUUGGUAUGGUUGUUAUAUAUCAAUUAUGUUAUAUAUUAGCUUGUAAUUAUGGUGUUUUGAGUGAUGGUUUUGUUGUUAUAUUGGCAUGUAAUUAUGACCUUAUAAUGGUUGAUAUUUUGGUAUAUGGUGCUUGAAUGAUGAGAGUUUAGAAUGGUUAAUAUAAAUGCAUAUUAUGAGAUGUUCUUUAAUAUACUUGAAUAUGGUCAAUUUGGUAUAGGGAGUGUAAUUGACAUAUGGGACUAUUUGUGCUAAUGUUUUUGCUGAUGGUUAUGAAAUGGUAAAUUUAGUAUAAUGAAUGUAAUUUUGAUAUGUGAAUUAAGUGGUAAGUUUUGGUAUAAACUUUGCUACAAAUUGGUUGUAAAUUUUGGUUUACUAUACACUUGUGUAAUACAUGUUAAAUUAUUGUAAUUGAGAUGCCUUUUGGGCAUAUUGGUUGUAUGAUCAAAUAUUUAGUUGGAUAAUUUGUUGUUGCAUGGUUUGGUGCACUUUGAAAUGCUUGUUCAUAUAUGGUAAAGUGGUUGUAGAUGUAUGUUUGCUUGGUUGAGAAAAAUGGCCUGGAAAUGGCCUAUUUUUCGUCAACAAGGCUAGAGACACGGGAGUGUGUCUCAACCGUGUGUGACACACGACCAUGCGACACGGCCGCGUGUCCCUUAUAGCUUACAAAAGGUUGCAUUUCGAGUGUUACACGGCCUGGCACACGGGCGUGUGGCUUGACCGUUUGAACCAAGUCAGAGAGUUACUUUGGCAUGGACACGGGCUGGGACAUGGCCUAUGUCCUUACUUCGAAUGUCCACUUGGCCUGAGACACUGCUGUGUGUCUCAGCCGUGCGAGUCACACGGCCUGACCACAUGGCCGUGUGACCCCUACAGUGUGAAUUUUUCCAUCUUUUUUCAUGAAGUUUUAAAUGUUUUCGAUUUAGUCCCGAAUUGUUUCUAAAGUGUUUCUAAAGUGUUUCUAAAGCCUUGAGAGCUCGAAUUAGAGACGUUAUGCAUGUGUUUGAUUGGAAUUUGCAAUGAUUACGAAAUGUUAGAAAUAAAUGAUUUGAGUUAUGUUUUUACGGUAAUGCUCUGUAACCCUAUUUCGACGACAGAUACGGGUUAGGGGUGUUACAGUAUUGUACUGUCAAAAACCUUAGUCACUAAAAAUUAAGGGUGACUCCAAAUAAUUUCCACCUGAAUUGAAUUCUUCCACCCAACCCAGAUACCCCAGAAUGCCUAAUUGCUUCUACAUAAUGAGAGCACUGAAAACUAAGACUAGCAAUAAUCGAAUCAACUUUAUUGCCACUGACUCUUAUUUCUAGAAGGCCAAAAAUAUCUGGCUUGUGUUCCCGAUUAUAUUCAUUAAAAAUCCGCAAAAACUUUUUGCUAGCACACCCUUGACAAUUCCAAGAAAAGACAGUAUAAAUAAAAUUUAGAAAAAAAAGGAGAACUUACCAUAAACCAUGGCUAUCAGGUACCUUUAUGGUCUUUCCCAUUGUUAUUUAAGUUACCUUUCUCAGCGUCCAACUAAAUUUGUGAGCUAAUAAGCUUGGCAACGGAGUUCAUAGAAUCUGCUAGUGGCAUCCUAGUACUAGCAGAGUUCUUAAAUGCCCCCUGUGUUCUUGAGUUUUUUUUGGCUUCCUCUUCCUUUUGAUACUUGGGUCUUUUUUCCUCUCCCAACCGGAUCACCAACUCCAAAAGGCUUGGUAUUAUUUAUUCCCCCAUUUUCUUUAAAAGUAAACGGACGAAUGAUUUUUUGAACUAAGGAAAUCCCUAUUUAUUACCACUAAUGACUACUGGUCCAUCAAAAGUAGGAUUAAAAUGAGAAUUUAUUCCCGUAAGUCCCACUCUCCCUGUUAGCUUUCUUUUCCAAAUGUGCUCCUAAUUUCAUAGAUUUGUCCUGCUUAUCAAUUAAAAAAAUUUAUAUUAGUUGAAGAAUUUGAAGAAUUUAAAACCUUGCCUGUAUGAUCCUUGUGCACUGGCCUAGAUGACGUUGCAAGUCCCUGUUGCCCGACGGUUGGAACCAUGUACACUGGCCUAUUUGGCGACACAGGCCCUUGCUGCCCAACUGAUGAGAUGACGUGAUCUGGCCCAAAAUGCACCGUAAAAUUUUGUUGUCCAACUAAAGGAACAUCUGAAACUAGCCUAAAAACUUCCAUAUUUUCCCUUGGGCCUAUCUUUUUUGGCCCAAAAUUCAGCUGUCACUUGGUCCCACACGAAAUCUCCAGCCCUUCUAAACAAAAAUGCUCCAACACACUAAAGGUGCUCCAACACACUAAAGGUGUUGGUAGGAUCAGAACUUGCUCCAUUUCCAUUUUUAAGUCUAGAAAUUUUCUCUUGAUUUUUUGCCUUAAAAAAUCACCUUUUUUGAACUUCACCCAAAAAAAUCAUUCACCUUCGCAUCAAUCUCGGGUAGAUUCAAUCCAAUAGAAAUCAUAGCGUCAGAUUUACAACGAUAUUCUAACGAGCCCUAGAGUUUCGUCGUGGUCUCCUCUCAACAAGCCAAAAAACUCCGAUUGUUCCACCGCUUUUCCUAACUCUGGUGAGGAUUCCUGUUUUCUCCUUUCCCAUCCUAGAUCCAUUUGAAACUGAAUUACUUGAGCAAGCUUCCUUCGUGUGUCCAAAACGUCUGCAACUGAAACACACAUGCGGGAGUGACUCAAACUCAACUCUCUGCACCGUUUUGUUUACCAUUAUCUAAGAGACCAAUGGUUUUCUAAGAUCGACACAUACAACCAUCCUGGUAAACAUCCCCACAAAACCUUAUCUGUUUGGAAAUCUAGCUUGGUAACGGUACCUAUUAAGCCUCCUAUUUCCUCUAAGAUUUUUAUCUUAUAAAGAAAUCCCAGAAGUCCAGAUAGCCUAACCCACAACAUUGUGCUACUGGGAAACAAUUGAAGGGGGAAAUGUCGAGGACCAUGGUUGCACUGUAAGAUAAUGGCCAAGCACUAUCCACGGUUCCUAGGUGAGAACUCUUUCAUAAUCAUCAUGAUUAUGAAACUUUACAAAAAAAAUAACCAUUAUCCACGUCUAUGAGUUGGAACGAAUGAGUCAGUUUCCAUAAACUAUGAAUCUUAUUUUGCAAUAAGGUAUAGGAAAUAUUUCUGCCCAAGAGUUUUACCACCACUAUGGAUGCCAUGUCUCUCACCAAAAUCUGUUGCAUCCUUUUAGAAAAACUAAGUCGGUAUUCCAUUUACAAAAGACUUCACUAUGUCACCUUCUAAAAAUUCAAACCCCCCUUCAACACCAGAUCCAUCAGUCCUUUGCCUAAGACCUUAUCUCUCCAAGAGACUCCCUGCACAAGGGGCGAAUAUACCACCAUAUCGUUCAUAACCUCAAAAUAAAGACCCUUAAAACAAACAUUUUUAGUAUUUCGAUCGCCCACCAAACUAUCAUCUCCACCAUUGUCCGCCGUUGAAUCUCAGAGAAUUUCAAAGAAUACAAUCUUAACUUCAGCUAAAUAUUCGACUACCUUGUUCUAAUUCUUGCUCAAACAACAAUUAGAAUUUCAGCAGUCAAAGUUUUGGGUGUUGGCAUAUUUGAUUUUUAAUGGAUCUUGGUUUAAUAUUAUUUAAUAAAAAAUUAUGAGAGAAUUUCAUAGUAAAUUAGAAAAUGAUCAUCAUCUAUUCGAUUAACCUUGAAGAGGAAGAUGAAAAGUUUGAACUUUUGUAGAU